rnacentral:rRNA from 1 species
GAGGAAAGAGGGAGGCGGGACGAAGACAGGCAAGUCGAGCGAACGGACGAGAAGCUUGCUUCUCUGAUGUUAGCGGCGGACGGGUGAGUAACACGUGGAUAACCUACCUAUAAGACUGGGAUAACUUCGGGAAACCGUAGCUAAUACCGGAUAAUAUUUUGAACCGCAUGGUUCAAAAGUGAAAGACGGUCUUGCUGUCACUUAUAGAUGGAUCCGCGCUGCAUUAGCUAGUUGGUAAGGUAACGGCUUACCAAGGCAACGAUGCAUAGCCGACCUGAGAGGGUGAUCGGCCACACUGGAACUGAGACACGGUCCAGACUCCUACGGGAGGCAGCAGUAGGGAAUCUUCCGCAAUGGGCGAAAGCCUGACGGAGCAACGCCGCGUGAGUGAUGAAGGUCUUCGGAUCGUAAAACUCUGUUAUUAGGGAAGAACAUAUGUGUAAGUAACUGUGCACAUCUUGACGGUACCUAAUCAGAAAGCCACGGCUAACUACGUA